GACGUAGGAGGCGAGCGUUGUCCGGAUUCAUUGGGCGUAAAGAGCGCGCAGGCGGCUUGGUAAGUCGGAUGUGAAAUCCCGAGGCUCAACCUCGGGUCUGCAUCCGAUACUGCCCGGCUAGAGGUAGGUAGGGGAGAUCGGAAUUCCUGGUGUAGCGGUGAAAUGCGCAGAUAUCAGGAAGAACACCCGUGGCUAAGGCGGCUCUCUAGUACGGUACUGACGCUGAGACGCGAAAGCGUGGGGAGCGAACAGG
rnacentral:rRNA from 1 species